rnacentral:rRNA from 1 species
ACGUUGGAUACUGGAGCGGGGAAGGAUUUCGUGCCAACGGCACUCGUACACGUGUUGUUCGGAUACUGAGCACAACGUUACACCGUUUUGUUAGGAAAGUGAAGGUGCGUCGGCGGCGUGCGUUUUUUUUUUGCUUUGUUUUUUUUUUUUAAAAAAAAAAAAAAAAAAGGCGCCCCCCCCUGGGCCUUUUUGAAAAGGGGGAAAAA